rfam:Salmo salar isolate Sally breed double haploid chromosome ssa20, whole genome shotgun sequence.
AAUGCACCAAUUUGUGAAUCGCUCUGGAUAAGAGCGUCUGCUAAAUGACGUAAA